UACAGAGGGUGCAAGCGUUGCUCGGAAUCAUUGGGCGUAAAGGGCAGGUAGGUGGUCUUAUUUGUCUUGUGUGAAAGCCUUGGGCUUAACCCAAGAAGUGCGCAAGAAACGGUAAGACUCGAGUGCUAGAGAGGCAAGUGGAAUUCCCGGUGUAGCGGUGGAAAUGCGUAGAGAUCGGGAGGAACACCAGAGGCGAAGGCGGCUUGCUGGAUAGCAACUGACCACUCAACUGCGAAAGCGUGGGGAGCAAACAGG
rnacentral:rRNA from 1 species